UAAUGCUUUCCUUCUCAAGGGGGAGGGGAAGGGUAGGAGACAAAGAAUCGGGAAGUCAAAAUCUUUUCAGAUGAAUGCUCAAAAUAUUUAUAUGUAAUUUGGAAAUAAUUAAUGAAAUAAAACCAUAUAUAUAUAAUUCCCAUCCAACCUUCCUUUGAAAGAAAAAGGGUAAGUUAGAUCAGUUCAAUUGUGGGUUUAAUUUUCUCCAUUUCAACACAUAAUAUGAUAUGCUUUGGUACCCAGAGUGUUCUUCAGAGAUAGAAACCUAAAGUUUCGAUCUAAAUAUGUUGAAUUGAAUUCCCAAUUUAGGACUAAUAGAAAAUCAAUUGUAGAGCUGUUAAUUUCCACCUGGUUUUACGUACCUCAUCAAAUAUCUCUAACCUUUUAAGCCUCUUGGGUAAUUAAAUUUUUCUAGCAACGUAGAAUUCUAAUUGAAACAUUGAUCGACCAUUCCAUCAAAUAAGGCAUAAUCAUAGGUAAGUAAUUUUUAAGACAACAUUUUGAUGCAUGAUGCUUCAUUGGUUUAUUAAUUUUGAAUGGUCGAAAGCUAGGUAAGUAUAAAAGUUUUAUGGGACAAGUUAUAAUAGUUGCAGUAUUUUCUCAUACUUUUUAUUUUUAGGAAAAUUUGAAAAAGACACUGUGGCAUAAUCCAAGUACCAGUAAUCUCAAGAGAAAGACGAAGAUUGAAAUUUGAACCAAGAAGGAUGAGAUGAAGAAACAUAAUUCUUUGACACACUUUAGUUAAGGUCUAAAUCUUCAAAGGAAUUUUACAUUACUUGACCUUUGUUUGGGGGAGCAAGAAUUUAUCUGUAAUCUGAUAACCAACUAAAAGAAAGAUCCCAAUAACUUGUUUUUAGUUUUUAUGGUUUUCUAUGACCCUUCUCCCUUCCAAGCCAAACCCCUUACAUUUUUUUCCUGUAAAAAAUCAUAAUCCUCCUCAUCUAUAUCCAUAUAACAUCACUCUGAGCAGAAGGGUUCAUAUGUUUAGGUGUGAUUUUCAGGUUGAGCCGCAGAAACUGGAAACAAUUUGGCAGGAGUGUGAGCCUGUGGAGGAAAACUAGAGAAAGACUUUGAGAGCUCUAACCCAGUUACCCGGACUUUUCCACUUUGAUGUGCAGGUAAUGAAUGCUGGAUCCAUGGUAAACUUCCUUAAGCUGGUACUGGGAGGCCUCAAGACUGGCUCCAAUGCACCUUUCUAGCCUUAUUUUUCACUGUACUCGUACUUCCCGGCCUUGCCCCCUGGCACCUCGGAUUAUCCACAAAGCUGAAUCCCUAUACCCAUCCAAAUGUCGCUCUUACUCUCAGAGAACUCAUUUCAAUCUUCUGGGCCACUCAGUGUUCUCAUCUAUGAAAUUAAGGUCACAGAAUUUGGAGCUGGAAAGAACCUCAGAGAAGCUCCGGUCGGAAUCACCAAAUUUGAGAGUUGGACCUUAAAAGCCUGGCAUCUGGCCCAGCCCAGACCAUGCCAUCAUUGUCACAUGCCCAGCAAGCCGUCGAACUGAAACUCGCCAAAGAAAGGGAACUGGCUCCCUCUUGAAGCAGUCCCGGCCACUUGGAGUUCCAAUUGACGUUCUUCUCAUGAUGUCCAAUCUAAUUAUGCUUCUUUGCACGUCUAAUCCCUGCUCUCCAUUAUGAGCCUGGGGCCAAAGCAAACGAAUCCAAUCCCUUGUUUUCCCAUUGGAAACCUUACUGCUGAUUGAACUAAUGGCCACAAGAUAAAUACAUAAAUAUAUUCCUUUGCUUCACUGACCUGGUGGGGAGACAGGCAAGAAUUACGAGAACAGUCUCUUCUCCCACUUCCAUGCAAGGACUGGGGGGACUUUUAUGACAGGUAACAGGGUUAGAGAAAAAGGAACUUCCUGAGGAAGAGAGAGGGCCAAGAAUUAAGCAGGAAGCCUUGCUGGACCAUGCAGAGACCACAGGGUAACUGAAUGCACAGAAGCUACAUGGGAACUGAGGGAAGGGGCUUGGCAACAGUUUGAAACCAGGAAGGUGGGAGGCAAAUGCCAAAUGGAUAGUCUGAGGAGGUACAUCUCACACAAUCACUUCCAGCUAGGGGGUGGGGGAAAAUAUUGGAUUUUUUUUCUUUACCUAAACAUUCUAGGUGUCAGUAUGAGAUUGAGUGAUUUAUUCUUCGGCUGCUCCUAAACCAGAUAGUAGUUACCUCAGCCUUCAACUUCCAUUAUUCCUAAGGAGGAGCAAUUUUCUGUGCAUUUACUGCCUUUCUCCUCAGGCCUCAUUCCACCAAAUCCUGGUCUGGAAGAAGAGCCAUUUCCCUAACAGUCACCACUUGCUUCCAACAAAACUGCCUGCAGUGAAGGGAGAUGGAGUCUACAAGAUGGCAGAACCACAAAAUGCAAAAAGCAAAAGCUGUUGGAAUACACGGGAGCCACCUGCCAGUGGCUGCUGGAGA